CAGUCACUGACAUGGCUGUACAGGGUUCAGAAGUGUUUUGGCUAUCGCUGCCAAACACAGACAAAAACAGUGUUCACCCAGUUGGCAGACUCCUCAAAAGGUUACAGAUAUCACCGCCGCACUUUUAUCACCUUGUCUUUUUUUCUCCCUUUCUUUUCUCUCCUGGAGGUUUAGGGAUCAUGUAUGCAGCUGUCCGUGUCAUUCACGGUAUAAAAAAUCUCACGCAAACCAGGCAGGCCGGCAGCCGGCGGGAGGAGACGGCUUCCUCUGAUGAUCUGAGAGAAGGGUGGAAACAUGGAGAAGUGUGGGUCAAUGGCAGGCCGGAAUCUCCUCCUGUGAGGCCCAAUCAGGAUCAAUAACACCGGGGCCUUCGACAUGCACACACCACAGGGAACCAGGGAUACCUCAGCAGACUGAUGGUGUGGACAACAUGGACACUGUGUGUGUGUGUGUGUGUGUGUGUGUGUGUGAGAGAGAGAGAGAAUAUUGACCUGCCAUUGGAUUUUCCAUUCUCUGAAUUCAAUUUAAAUCCACUGAACAUGCUGAACAAAUUAGAUAAGGGUUAUUAUUUUACUUCAUUUAAGGUACAAACAUUUAAAACAUUUAUAUUAGACUUUGCAUUUUAAGGAUAUUAAUAUAUACCUUUCUAAACUGUUUAUUUAAAUCUGGUAUAUAGUGUGAUUCUAAGCUGUGUCAUUUUACUCUAUAAGAUGUACAAUAAUUCGCCCCUUUAUUGCAGCACCAACUUUAAACUGCAGCCAUAUGCCUUCAAAAUGUAAAUGCACGCAAACAAUGUUUCUGAAUAAAAUAAAACGACAUCCCACUCUCAAAUUGGUUCUAAUUAGGGCCAAAAGCUCCGUGCAAUAGCCGGGACUGAGCGACAUUCCUUUGCCAUUACAUUGUAACUGAUCUUUGGAGACUGGACGCGCGGCUACAGGGCCGCUUCAACCUCUCGCUGACCCCACAUGAUCUAAGUUUACAAAGCUGUGGCGAAACGUGAACCCGAAACUCACUCUGCAGAAUUAACUUCAAUUGUGGGAUCGCGGAGAGGAGCUUAAAGAAAACACACGCUUCUCAUUUGCACCACACGUCGCCAGUGGUAUAACUUUGCGCUGAAGAGGAGGGCCCUUCAGGUUAGGAGACCGAACAGGUACAAUAUGACCGCGCACGCACCAGUGGAGAAAAGGAAAGAAUAAAGAAGUUCAUUUACACUUUCUUUUUUUUGGUUUUGCUUUAAAGGGCUUCUGUGCAGUUAAAUCUCCGGGGUCAGAGGUGGGUCUGAACUGACAAUGCCGGUCUAAUUUGAACUAUCCGCUCCUAGAGGUUAUGCCGGUCCCCGAGGCCAUGUGGACCUGUUUCCUCUUCUUCCCUCAUAAUUAAAUUUUUUGCCUCAUCCUCCUCCCUUGAAGUGCUGGGGUCACCACGCGUGGAUCCUACCUGACCAAACAACACCGCCCAAAUAUUUAACUCUGACCAGAUAAUGCUGACUGAAUAAAUGUGUGAGUCAUUUUGUUACCUAAGGCUUGAAAUGUGGAUGGAAAUAUAAUCGCUAUUUACAUUUUAUUAUAUGUAUUUCAUUAGCUAUAUUGUAUACGGAAUUCGGGGAGAAAAAUGUUAUGAGAGGCUGUUGCAUCAUGAUCCCUGUGCAAAAUACACACAUUAUUUUCGAUGCAAUGUUAUUUUAUUAAUUUAUGCAUGCAAUGUAUUUGUAACUUAGUUAAUAAAACUAAAGGAUUGCAUUGCGACUUAAUCAGUAUUUUGUGCAAAAGGCUUGUAACCCUCAUCAGCAGCAUCAAUUGCUGCAGCAGGGGCGGAUCUAGAAAAAUAUUCAUGGGAUGGCAAGUGUAAUGCAUGCUUAUUUAAUCGUAAACUAUCACAUAUAGCAAUAUUUGUUUGGAGAAGUCCCCAAAUGAAGAUACUUGUACUAAAACAUUAGAUUAUUGUGGCAUAUCAGUAAAACAUUUAAUAGAAAUAUCUAAAGGUGCUAUUUGAAAUCAAUAAAUUGUUUUAUUUCCAAAUCUUUUUUCUAAAAGAAUAUACGUUAAUAUGUCUUUUUAGUCUGGAAUGUAGCAACAAAAGAUCAUUAAAUUAAUUUCUGUUUUCAACACAUUCUUACUAAAAUGAAUCUAAAUUCAUGUGUUGACAACAUUUGAAACCAAACUGGGGUGGCCAGGCAUAUUAUAGCCACCAUGCCAUCCCUCUGCCCCUGCCCAUGGUGGAAUCUCCUCAGGAGCAGAUGCCUCCUAUAUGCAUCAAUCAACAGUGAAAACUUCCCUCAGUACUCACAUUGCAUUUUCACACGCAUUGGGUGCAGUGGGUCCGGUCACACAAAUAAUCCACUGGAUGAAAUUACGCAAUUUCUCAGGUGUGUUUGAUGUGUCUCAUCUUCAGGGUGCAGCCUUCACAGCUCUGCUGGAGACAAACUGAGAGAACAGAGAAACCCUACACACUGAAUACUCAAGGAAAGGUUGUAUGAUGGAUGGUCUCUUGUGAUACUGUAACUUCAAAGGCCAGUUUGCAAAUGUAUAUGUACUAAUACUAAAUAUAAUCCCCACUGAAACAUCUGAAGAGAGAAAGGCACCAAAGGAAAUGUAUGUUACCUUGCAAACUAUUAACCACAUAGUGUGUUUGAGACAAAUGUCUAUUCCACUGACUGUACCUGCAUCUGUGCUGAUGGUUAUCCUGGAGUCUGGUCAGAAUCUGUGGAUAUGUUGCCAUCUGCUGGUGAAGAUGUGACAUUACUAAUAUUCAAAUAUGCACUUGUUUUCUGUCUGUUUCAAAAGCCUGAGGUGUUACCGAACAAGCAGAGGUGAGGAUUAUUGUUGAGUCAAACCCUGAGAACAACAAUACAACGAGAUUUGGAACAAAUAUUCAACAGUAAGAAUAUUUCAGCAAAUGUGUGUCAGUGUAGGAUAUCUGCAUAUAAAAUGACUUUUAUUACUUAUCUGCAGUUGUGUGCAUCUGUGUGCUAGGUGCAGUAGCAAACUGUUGUUGCUGUGGGUUUGCUGCCAUCUAGUGGUGUAUUUCUGUUGUCUUUGGCAGUGCAGUAGGUAGCAUAUACUUCCUUCAACUGACUUACACUAAAUGCCUGGUCUGGUUGAAUUGAUUCUUCUGGUUGGUAAAAAGCUUACUAGUGUUGGCCUGAUGUAGUGGGUGGGGUCACAUUAUGUCGAGACCACCAUCGGGACAAUCAUUUAUAAUAACAUACUGUGUGUGGCUGGGGUUUCAAUACACUAAAACCACCAACAAGACCAUUGAUAAGACCCCUGAGGAUUAUAGUAGAGGAGAAUGUUAUGGACGCCACAAUGAAAUUGUUGGACCUGCAAAAGAAGGCAAUGAUGUAGCUUAUCUUUUUCUUGAUCUGAAUUAGAAAUGAGUCAUUCUGAGUGCCAAUGUAAUAUCUUAAUUUUUAAAGUAGCACUGAUAAAUGACCUCCCACUUACAUGAAAUAUAGCAUCAACAAAAACGACAGACAAAUGCAGAUUACUGGCUACCAUUAUUGUUCAUGACCUACAGUAUGGACCUAGACAAAGAACAAAUAGUCUGUGUUUGUAUGUAGCUAUUUGUUUUAUUUUAUACAUAACUGUUGAUUUUUGUGAUAUUUUGGUAUACAGUUUCAUAUCACAAACAUUGUAAGUUGAAGCUGUAUAUCAGUUACCAACAUUCUUCAUUUAGUUAUAUUUAUCUCUAAAACUAAGAUGGCAUGCCGUGACAAUUCAUUCUGAACACUUUAUUCAAAUGUUUUACUCCACAUUGUAGAGAGGCAGCAAAUUCUUCAGAAGAAGGAAGUACAGUGCAAAAGAAUUCAUUGCUGACUAGCAAGAAUGGCAACAUUACUGUACUCCUGACAAGAAUGAUCCCAUUGUUUGCCAAAGUAUACAAACUAUGUUGCUCUUAGAGAUCUUUGCUUUUCCCUUGCUAUAAUGAUUUUACAGCAAGGGAAAUGGGAUAAUGAGCUACCCCGACAGGCUAUAUA
rnacentral:lncRNA from 15 species